UUUUCUUAACACGCUUGCUGUGCUUCGUUUAUUUUGAGUUGGGUUGACAGCAAUUUGAUAUAUUAAUGGAAUUUUUCAACUAUUUUGUUCAUUACAAAUUAUUUUUGUUAUUGAAACAGUCGACUGAGUGAUUUCCAGUUUUUCUGCUACAACCAUCUGAAAUCCAUGAUUCGCCAUAUAUCGCAAGAAUACCUUCAUUUUAUGAUUCGAAGAAAGAGCAAAAAUUCAAGAUUUUCUCCCAAAGAGUACGUCGCCAUCCAAUUUACAUUUUCUUCUUGAAAUCUGUAAAGAGAUUUAAGAUCUCGCCAAUCAGCUUUCCUUCGUACUUAUGUAUUGCUCCUAUGUAUUGCUUACUCCUAUGACCAGCUUAUUGCAAGGUGCAUCUCCUACUAAGGAGAUGCAAAUAUUUUGGGGCAAAUGCUCAACUAAGUAAGCAAAGGAUACAUAUUUAUAUCACACCUUUACAUAUCACACAAGACAUUUUAUUUAUAACAAGUUGGGCAAAUACUUAAACGUGAGUAAAUGCUCAUGCUUCUAAUACAAGUUUGAGUAAAACCUUCUACUUACAUUUUUAUUCAUAAACUAUAUAGCAUAUGCUUCAAGUUUUGCUAGUAGAAGUUUUUAUUCAUACGUCCCAAUAGGUGAUAUACAGAGCCAAAAGGUGUCUUCAAGAAUUCAUAUUGUGCGGUGGAUGUUACGAAUGCAUUAUAACGUUAGCUAUUUUUAUCCACUGGUACGUGAAAAAAGCCAAUUUUCAAAUCUAUGGUUAAAGAGAUUUUACUGCCCUGCAAAGCGUCCAACUGGCUGUCGACUCAUAGUAUUGGAAAAUGCCACCUGAUAAUUAAUUUAUUCAAUGCUCGAUAAUCGACGCAAACUCUGGUGUCCCCAUUUUUUUUUCACUAAAGGCGUAAACAGACUAUCAUCACGUGACUUGUACAGUAUGUGCAAGUCCACUUACGCGUAGAAUUUUAUGUAUCAGAAUCAUACUGUUGUUACCUCACGUAUUCACGGCGCGUUCGUCUGCUCUCACAUGAUAGCAUGCCUCUGUUAUUCAGCCAAUUUACAUUUUGUAGUGGAACGUGACAUUACGUUUAGUGUUUUGACACAGGUUUUGGUGUAAAAAAAUCAUAUAAGUAUAUGAAAAAUGGACGAGAAGUUAAUUGAACUUGUAAGAAAUCAUGAAGUGCUAUACAAUCACUCAUCAGCCGAGUACAGGGACCAGACGAUUCGGCAAGAAGCAUGGGAAGAAAUUGGUAGACACUUACAAAUAACAGGCGCCAACGUCAAUGGCAAUAAACUUGUAGUCUGCUUCAACCAGCGUCAACAGAACUAUCGAAUGACUUCCCUUGUAGUUGUGGUAUGUGGAUCCUGCAUUAAUGACACACCAGAUGACAUUUUUGCCGCCGCAUUUAGAAGGUCGAAGGACGCGCGACAAUUAGCAGAAGUCUCAAAAUUAACAUAAAAUUCGCGUUCCCGACGAAAGAGAAAUAACGGCGAUGACGUUGACGCAGACGAACAGCAAAUACAAGAACGCAGUACAGACGCUGAAGAUAUAGCUGAUGAAGGGGACCAAGAAAAUAUUGCAGUUAUACAACAACAAACACCUUCGCAAGACGAUAUAUUGCUCGCCGAAAAUACUAAAACAUUAGAGCACAUGAAGAGAAACAAAACGUGUUCACAAAAAAAAAUACUACAGCCGAGAAAAUGGCGGCAAUAAUGGAACAAUAUGCUGCUCUCAGAAAAAGAAAAUUCGAAGAGAAAUUAACAGCGCAAAACAAACAUACAUGUUUUGAAUAUAUAGACGAAACUGACAUAUUUUUCCUAAGUUUGGCGAGAAUGACGAAACAAUUACCAAAAGCCGAACAAACUGUAGUUAAAAUAACAGUGAGCUGCAAUUUUUUUAAGCUGAAUUGAGAAGCGCACAUGCAUAAAGUGCUCCAAUACCUGCACCGUCUUCGUCAUAUGCUUUGCAACCAUUGUUUUCACCUCACGACAAUUCUAGACAGUCUACGUCAUCAUUGUUAUAUUCUGUGCAACCCUUGCCGUCACCUCAUGAAUAUUCUAGACCAUCAUCAGAAUCCUCAUACAUAACAUGCAAUCGGCUCUCCCGCCGCAGGAUUAUGAUAAAGCUGGACAUGAGCAAUUUACAAAUGUUUCACAAAUAAGCAAUUACCCUACAGCAGAGACAACUCGCGAGGAAUAGAGACCGACGUUACUAGAUAUGAACUCUGUGUCUCUGGUCGAUUUAGCUAAAUAUCAUUAAACUUUUCUAUUGUUAUUUAACGU